UACAGAGGUCUCAAGCGUUGUUCGGAUUCAUUGGGCGUAAAGGGUGCGCAGGCGGCGCGGUAAGUCGGGUGUGAAAUCUUGGAGCUUAACUCCGAAACUGCAUUCGAUACUGCCGUGCUUGAGGACUGGAGAGGAGACUGGAAUUUACGGUGUAGCGGUGAAAUGCGUAGAUAUCAUGAGGAAGACCAGUGGCGAAGGCGGAUCUCUGGACAGUUCCUGACACUGAGGCACGAAGGCCAGGGGAGCAAACGGG
rnacentral:rRNA from 1 species